AGGGGCAGCAUGGUCUUAGCUUGCUAAGGCCGAUGGCGACCGGCGCACGGGUGAGUAACGCGUAUCCAACCUGCCUUACACUCUUGGACAGCCUUCUGAAAGGGAGAUUAAUACAAGAUGUUAUCAUGAGUAAGCAUUUUCGCAUGAUUAAAGGUUUACCGGUGUAAGAUGGGGAUGCGUUCCAUUAGAUAGUAGGCGGGGUAACGGCCCACCUAGUCUUCGAUGGAUAGGGGUUCUGAGAGGAAGGUCCCCCACAUUGGAACUGAGACACGGUCCAAACUCCUACGGGAGGCAGCAGUGAGGAAUAUUGGUCAAUGGACGAGAGUCUGAACCAGCCAAGUAGCGUGAAGGAUGAAGGUUCUAUGGAUUGUAAACUUCUUUUAUACGGGAAUAAACGGAUCCACGUGUGGAUUUUUGCAUGUACCGUAUGAAUAAGGAUCGGCUAACUCCGUGCCAGCAGCCGCGGUAAUACGGAGGAUCCGAGCGUUAUCCGGAUUUAUUGGGUUUAAAGGGAGCGUAGAUGGGUUGUUAAGUCAGUUGUGAAAGUUUGCGGCUCAACCGUAAAAUUGCAAUUGAUACUGGCAGUCUUGAGUACAGUUGAGGUAGGCGGAAUUCGUGGUGUAGCGGUGAAAUGCUUAGAUAUCACGAA
rnacentral:rRNA from 1 species